CAAUAGCGUAUAUUAAAGUUGUUGCAGUUAAAAAGCUCGUAGUUGGAUUUGUGGCGUACGGUGGGUUCCGGGCACUUGUUGUCUGAGUAACUUGCUGUUGCCAUCCUUGGGUGGAACCUGUGUGGCAUUAGGUUGUCGUGCAGGGGAUGCCCAUCAUUUACUGUGAAAAAAUUAGAGUGUUCAAAGCAGGCUUAUGCCGUUGAAUAUAUUAGCAUGGAAUAAUGAGAUAGGACUUUUUUGCUAUUUUGUUGGUUUGCGCAAAGAGGUAAUGAUUAAUAGGGACAGUUGGGGGUAUUCGUAUUCCAUUGUCAGAGGCGAAAUUCUUGGAUUUUUGGAAGACGAACUACUGCGAAAGCAUUUACCAAGGAUGUUUUCAUUAA
rnacentral:rRNA from 1 species